GGGCAUUUGGCAAAGGAUGCUGCUCUCAGAACCGUGGCUUCUGCUCCUCACCAGUGCGUCUCUAGCCUGGGGCUCCUAUUUUCCCUAGAGGGACCCUGGAAAAUGGGACGGCUGCCGAAGAGAAGGCGAAGGUCAGGGCGCGGAGCUCUACGGUAACCACGCGACGCGUAGUGGGAGAGUGCGAACCUUAUGGUAGCGCCCGGACUAAGCGGACACAGACCCCUCUGGUUUUACAAAGGCGGCUGUGACGAGGACUUCCCACGGCCUUGUUGGAGGGCGUCCUGUUAGCCCUGCUCAGCCUGAAUAACUCAAAUUCUCCGAAUUCGCAGGGUAAUCCGCUUCGCUUGGAGCCGUGUAAACUCAGGCUGACAUACACACUCAAGCUGUAUAUGUAAAUAUUUGUUCUCUUUUCCAGCCAGUCGGUCUGGCUAUUAGAAGCCUCUUCGUGGGUCUUAAAAUUAAAAUAAUAAUAAUAAUUUUUAAAACUCCAACUUUUCACUGCACCACCCCCUACUCCUGAAAUAAAUUUGUGAGGGAAAACGGCAAGUUAAAAUAGCUGUCGAAAACGUUUGUGUGAACAAAAUGAUGACAUCUGGAAGAGUCGUGAUUUCAGCCUGUCUUGGUCAUCGUGUGUCAAUAGUUUUUAACAAGGUGCUGGAUGAAGGUGACUAAAAAAUGCAUUCUCAUAUCACUAUCGAAGUUCGAAGUGUCGAUUUAUAAAUGUUUGAGGAAAUUCGUAAAACCAUAGACUUUGGUGCUGGAAGGAAUUUACGCUGUCUUCUAGCCGGUCUCCAUGUGCGUUUGAGAGAGAAAAACAGGGCCCGACGUGGCAGAGCGCGCAUCUCCCCCCAGUCCACCUCAGCGGCUAGAAGCAGACGGAAGGGCAGGACUCACACUCCGGGCCCCGACCCUCAUCAGCCCCUGGCCCUGCAGCUGUGGCUGGGCUGUUAGCUGAAGAGCCAGAGUAGAGUUAACGACGGCUGGCAAGCAGAGGGCUUUCAGAUUAAACCGCAGGAUGCAUCUGAGGAUCCGUUUCUAUUCUUAAAUUUUUUGCUGGUUUUGGACAACCCAGACCCAAUCCAGACCCCUUUUUUGGUUAUUAAAGUCCCCCGCCCCAACCUGUCUCUCCCCAGACACACCUUCUCAAUGUAAGUGACAUUUCUUUGUAUUGAGUGGAAGGCACACACUGAUUCCUUUCCUAUAUCAAAUGCUUAGGAUUUGUCCAGAAAGAAAGAUUUCCCUCAAGAAGUGGGGAUUUUGGAAGGUCGGGGAAUGUUAUGGUUAGUCUAGACCUUGAUAUAUGCUUCAACAGGGUGUGGCAAACCUUGUUAGCUGAAUUUAGUUUUCAAAAACUUGCCGCAAAAUUAUACUUCAUAAAAAAACCCUUUUGAUUGUUUUUCUACACAGAGGAAAACAACUGUGUCUUUUCUUAAUUACCUCAAUGAUUUUGACUGGAAUAUGAAUAAUAUCAUGAGAGGAACAUUUUCAGAAAAUUUGAUGAAGCAAGGGAAAAACUGAAUUGCCACAAAUCUGUUUCCUCCUCCUUUCCAAGUGCCUACGCGGCCUUAGCCCAGCUCUGUGUCUCUUGUGUGCAGGAAACCCCGACUGCGCAUCCUACUACAGGUAAAAUACUAUACAAGAAAAGAUGAGUGAUCGUUAGGAGGCAGGCGGCAAACGAGAGGUAUUGAAAAGGCCACUUUAAACAAAUCCGGGUGACCCGUUUGGGGAUCUCUAGGCUAUGCAUCUUGUUGGUGUUGAAACCUCGGCAGUAAAACAUAUGCUGCAACAUUAUUAUCGGGGGCACACCGUCCCUCCUCCUAGAUUUAUUGCCUUUGCAAAUCAAUAUGAUGCCAUAAAAACGGGGAACCGGUUCUGGGCAGAGAGGUGCUGUCGAAGGAUGAUUCAAAGCCUUCCCAAAGCGGAGAGUGGGGAGUUCUGAGGUCCCUUCAAAACGCCACUGAUAGCGCAGGUUAACAGGUAAAACCACCCGGGGGUUGGAACAAAACAAGCACGUUAACACAUCUCUCUAGGCCCUUCUCAGGCUGACUGCUGGCAGCGGAAGCUGCUGAAGUCUUAAUGUUAACUUUAACACACGCAUUAGCCCGGAGACUUUGUGUAGGUUACUAAACCUCUCAAAGCUUCAGUUUCUUCAUCUGCGUUAGAAUAGGGCCAAUAGUUCAUUCCUACCUGGAAGAUAGCUCUUUGGAUUAAUGCCCUAAUGUGUAUAAAAAGCCUAACACUCACAAUAAACCCAACAUAAGUAAAGCA
ensembl:lncRNA novel transcript